rnacentral:tRNA from 1 species
CGCGGGAUGGAGCAGUUGGUAGCUCGUCGGGCUCAUAACCCGAAGGUUGCCGGUUCGAGUCCGGCUCCCGCAACCA